rnacentral:rRNA from 1 species
ACUGCUGGUGUAGAGAUGAAAUUCUGUCAUACCUCUUUUCAAUAGAAAAAUAAUGGCACAGGUAUAGGCGAAAGCAUCCCCUUAUGUGAUAACUGACGUUGAGGGACGAAGGCUUUGUGUAGCGAACAGGAUUAGAUACCCCAGUAGUCAAAGCAGAAAAUGAUGAAUGUCAUAGAUUAGAUAUAUAAGUUUAUUCUAUAAAUGAAAGUGUAAGCAUUCCACCUCAAGAGUAAUUUGGCAACAUUGGAACUGAAAUCAUUAGACCGUUUCUGAAACCAGUAGUGAAGUAUGUUGUUUAAUUUGAUGAUCCGCAAAAAACCUUACCACAAUUUGAAUAUUUAUAUCUUAUAUUGUUUUUUUUUUACUUUAUUC